GUCCGCGCGCGCGGGGCGGCCGCGGCGGUGAGCCUGCGCGUCAGGGCCGCCGGCCUCUCCUUGGCUGUUGGAGGUGAUAGGGGUCGAGGGGAGGGAAAAAGGGGCUGGCGUCAGCCGCCCCUGUGAGGUGGCCGUAGCGUGGACGAGUAAGAAGGGUUGAGUAAAGUGGACAAACACCUGGUUAGGAGAAGAGGGCAGGCCCGCAGCCGCCCUCCGGAGGAGGACUCGGGGCCUCGCGGGCGCCGGAGGAGGUUCCUGGGCCUCGGAGGGCCGCCCCGGCGCGCCGCCCCGGCGCGAGCGGGCGCGGGCGGGGGAGGGGAAGUGAGAGGUUGUUUAUGACCGGGGACUAAUCUCCUCCGCGAGUCCCAGCGCUCCCUCUGGGGAGUGCGGUUGAGGGGCUGUCCUCGCACGGAGCCUCGCUCGGCCUCGGGGGAGCCACGAGAGGUGGGAGUUGGACCCGCAGCGGGCCAGGAGCCCUGUCAUUGGAGGACCCGCCAAAAAGGAAGCAAACCCUCUUUUUCUUUAUCCAACCCCAAAUAGCUAGGGCCUAGGGGGAAGACUCACAUAUCGAUAAAUGGUUUGUUGCCCGUUUUAUUCUCUGGGAAAUACAACUGAUCUUACCAAAGAAAUAACCUGUCUCUUGCCGUGUUUACUUAGAGCCAUAGAAUACCUGUUUCAGAGCUGAAGGGGACCUGAGCCCAUGAUAAUCCAUUACCUCGUGAGAAAGCGGAAAAACUGACUUCAGCUUGCCCAGAUGGCGCAGAGAAUGGGUUUCCCGUAACCCCGCCUGUGUCUUUCCUUCAGCCUCGUCCCAAAUGCCGUGGGAGGGAAGGCACUCUCUGUCAAGCUGCUGUCACCUUACCUGAAGUAAGGAGUCCACGCCUGCAUGUCCGAGGAAAACAGUUUUCUCAAACACAUUAGUUGAAAAACUGAAGACGCUGCCUAAAAUACAAGCUGAGUUAGAGACAGCCCUUGUAAGACUAGAAAAAGAAAUGGAAACUAAGUAACAUGAAUUAACAUAGUCCAGGGUCACAAAGCAACAUGGAACAAGAACCUGGAUCUGAAUUCAGAGGCAGAAUGCUGGAAUCUAAGCCAGAAUGAGGUUACUGCCUAGGCAAAGAAGAAGACAGCUCAUCACAGGUUUAGGAAUGAAGACAGAUCUGCUGGGUUAGGUUGUAAGUGACAGUCUCAGAGCACAGCCAAUCUGAUUCUAAAAUGAGCACAUGAGGAUGUAAGUAUUCAAGACAGAUCCACAACCAAAAAGUUAGUUCAAGACAAAGACUGCUGACUAGACUCAGUACUCAAGAUCCAGCAUACCCACCCAUUCUGGGAGAAUGCAAGCAAUCACCAGUACUUUACAUGGAUGGAAUGCUCAGGUCAAGAAAUUCCAACAGUAAGAAUCCAGAACCUGGAAGUGAAAGUACAAAGCAGAAAGAAUUGACUAUGUCCGUAUACUUUCUCAACCAUAUCUCAUGUGUAAUCCACUUGGCAGGAAGGGGUAAGGUUUUCUUUUUAGUGUUGGUCUCUUGUUUACUAAAAUGACGAUAUUUAGGAGAGCAUGUCCCAUUCCUCUGAUUCCAUACCAUCUUCCUUAUCCAGUUGGUAGG
rnacentral:lncRNA from 10 species